UGCCACCCCGAGCCUCUCACAAAGAAAGUGAAACUUGUGGUCGCUUUGCCAUAGACUGUGCUCGAACUACUCAAGCAUCCGAGACUGCUGCUACAGUAUAGCCCUGAUGGUCUCAAGGUGCUCCUGCUAUUGCUGAGUCUGUCGGGUGUGAAGAGCAAAGAACAUCUGUGACAUCUGACUAAUAGACUACGGCAGAGCCCGAACAUCAGGCAAGAUUUCAAGUGCCUCUGUGGCUGGUGGAGG
rnacentral:lncRNA from 1 species